ensembl:lncRNA
CUUAUUAGUUUCUCAGUAUCUAGAAUUUGAGUGUUUAAUUCUAAUAUUAAAUUUGGCAGUUUGUACAUUUUCACCAGGCUUCCCUGGUGGCUCAGUGGGAAAAGAGUCCCCGGCAAUGCAGGAGACCUGGGUUCGAUCCGUGUUGGAAGAUCCCUUGGAGAAGGAAAUGACAACCCACUCCAGUAUUCUUGCCAGGAGAAUUCCACGGACAGAGGAGCCUGUCAUACAGAUGGAUUUAUGUCAGAUUACUACAGUUAAGGCGAUGUUCAAAAUGGAGGAAGACUCUCGAAACAAGUUACCCAAAGGCUGAUGGAAUUACUUUGGGCUCUAAUGAGCAAUGGAUGAGAAAAAACAGAUGCAAAAUGUCUGGUGCACACGAGAGAUGGUCCAUAACAAGCAGUAUCACCAUGGAGCUAUACUUUCGGACAAGAGAAACUCCUGUCUUUACUGGGAAUGCUACAACUGCUGUGUCAUAAAUCAGAAAGCUCUAAUGGGUUGGCAGAAGGGAAGCUGCUGUGAGGAAACAUAAUUAAACCACUCUUUGAAGGCAGUGUGUGAAGGUAACUAAAUCCAUUUAUCCCUUCCAUGAACUUCCACUCUUAUGUGUGUUUGCGAAGGCUGUAUCAGAAAACCAAUUACAGAUGUAGCUUCUGCACUUGGCUUGCUAUCACUGAGGAACAGCUAAUGUCCUGUAAACACUACUCUGUUAUCUUAUUAAUUGAAGAAACACAACUCAAAAGGGAAGUGUGUUUACUUUCAAGGUAAUUAAAAGAAAUAUUGAAAAGGCUGGGAACUCAAUACCAACCUGCCUGCCUUUCAGAAAAAGUGACUGACCUCAAACUUGCAUUUAACGCUCAUCUCUAUAAAUUCUCACCAGGACAUUCUUAAGGGAUCAAGUUAAAUAUGUCAGAAAAAGGUUUGUUUUGUAAAGAUGUAUAACUUAAGGAAGCAUUGUCUCAAACAUAAAAGAAAUAUUUAUGUCCCUAGACAAAGGAACUUCAAAUCAGUUAGCCAAGAAAUAGGCAAGCAGUCUAAUAAGUUUUUCGAAGGUAAAAAUGAAGACUCAUGAAUAAUUCAGGUACAAAUAGUAUAAGAGGAAACAAAUACUCCUCACUUACAGUUAUCUGGGGAAGACUUUGUG